rnacentral:rRNA from 1 species
CAGCAGUGGGGGAAUAUUGCACAAUGGGCGCAAGCCUGAUGCAGCCAUGCCGCGUGUAUGAAGAAGGCCUUCGGGUUGUAAAGUACUUUCAGCAGUGAGGAAGGUGGGUAUGUUAAUAGCAUACUCAUUUGACGUUAGCUGCAGAAGAAGCACCGGCUAACUCCGUGCCAGCAGCCGCGGUAAUACGGAGGGUGCGAGCGUUAAUCGGAAUUACUGGGCGUAAAGCGCAUGCAGGUGGUUUGUUAAGUCAGAUGUGAAAGCCCGGGGCUCAACCUCGGAAUUGCAUUUGAAACUGGCAAACUAGAGUACUGUAGAGGGGGUAGAAUUUCAGGUGUAGCGGUGAAAUGCGUAGAGAUCUGAAGGAAUACCGGUGGCGAAGGCGGCCCCCUGGACAGAUACUGACACUCAGAUGCGAAAGCGUGGGGAGCAAACAGGAUUAGAUACCCUGGUAG